rnacentral:rRNA from 1 species
AUUGAACGCUGGCGGCAUGCCUUACACACGCAAGUCGAACGGCAGCACGGGUGCUUGCACCUGGUGGCGAGUGGCGAACGGGUGAGUAAUACAUCGGAACGUACCUUAUCGUGGGGGAUAACGCAGCGAAAGCUGUGCUAAUACCGCAUACGCCCUGAGGGGGAAAGCGGGGGAUCGCAAGACCUCGCGCGAUUAGAGCGGCCGAUGCCUGAUUAGCUUGUUGGUGGGGUAAAAGCCCACCAAGGCGACGAUCAGUAGCUGGUCUGAGAGGACGUGCAGCCACACUGGGACUGAGGCACGGGCCAGACACCUACGGGAGGCAGCAGUGGGGAAUUUUUGAAAAUGGGUGCAACCCUGAUCCAGCAAUGCCGCGUGGGUGAAGAAGGCCUUCGGGUUGUAAAGCUCUUUUGUCAGGGAAGAAACACCGGCUCUAACACAGUCCGGGAAUGACGGUACCUGAAGAAUAAGCACCGGCUAACUCCGUGCCAGCCGCCGCAGUAA